GAAAAAUCCUAAAACCCAACCAUUCCUAAACCUUUCAGCUGACUUUCCUAUUUUCUCUCAUUUUUUCCGAUGGCGAAGAAGUGGGCAGAGUUGUUCCCGUUGGAAGUCGACCGUUCUGAAUCGAUUCUCAAGAAUUCGGAUCUUGGUUUUGGAAGUAAUGAGUUCAAAAUCUCCAAGGACGAGAUUGCCGAAAACUGUUGGAAUGCCACGGUUAAGUUUGACAAAAAAUCAAGUGUAGGGACAAAAAGGGUGUCUUAGUCGAUACGUUGGCAACAGUGAUGAAAAAAUAUAAGUAUUUGGUUGAUGGUUGCGCUUCAAUCUGGAAGAUUAUUUUGGUGGAUGGAAGGCUGCUACCAGUGGAAAGGCCAAAUUUGUUGAGUGCUUUAACUUUGUAAAGAGAGCUCUUGAUCCUCAGAGCUAGUACAAUAGUACCAGCGGGGUUAUUAUAUUUGGAAGGAAUUUUAGAACCUAUUACGGUUUUGCUAGUGAUGUGCAUUUGGAAUUGGAGACACGAUUCCCUAAUCUUGUUGUUGGUAUGUAUUAUGAGUUGGUAGUUGGAAGAGGAGCAUACAAGAAUGAACGCUUCCCGUUUUAUCCAAUUCAUCCAAUGGAUGAGACCGAUAAGAGUUCCAUAACGUAUGAUUUUAAAAUUUUUAAUUUUUAGGGUAUUAAUUUUAUAUGACUCUAAACUUAUAAUUUUAUUUUCAGGGUCAUGAAACAUGUUAAGAAGACAUUGGUAGGUUUUACAUAUUCACUUUUGUAGUUUUUCCCCCCACAUUAUGCUCACACUAAUUAAUUUUCUUGCAACAUGAUUAUAUUUUAUAGAUAGACUACACAAAAUCUUUUUUUUGGGAAUUGCCGUAGCAGAUCCGACCCAAAGCGUGGACAAGUUUGAGGUAUAUUCCAACUUCCAUGAUGCUUGAGCUAAGGUGUUCGUUGAAUUUUAAUAUGUGCCUCUUUAUAGCCUCUAAGUUGUACUAGUUUUCCUUUUAUUUCCCAUCUAUUUAUGUGAUUGUUUCUCUCGGGUGCAUCGACCAUUUCCCUCGUUGAAACCAUAAUAGCUUGAUUUUUGCAUUCCAAGAUGCUAUUUAAACUUUGCAUUAUCUUUUGGCUCAUGUAAGAUAAUUUUCACAAUCUUAGCUUAAUAAACUUAGCUAGACAUAUUAAUGAAGGAAAGUACAAAAAGAUUGCAGUUGUAGUGGUAAACUAGUAUUUAUACCCGUACGAUGUGCGGAUAAUUUUGUGACUGUGCUAAACUUUAUAAAUUUAAAAAAUCAUAUGAAUAACUAUUGGCACAAACUCAAACCGUAUACCUCAAUAUAUAGUCGGUGAUACAUACAAAUAAAAAUGUAAUAUGAUUCAAAAGUAAAUGAUACUAUUUGAAAUAAUAAUUAAUAUAAAUAUAUUUAGUAAUAUCUUAGUUUAAAUUACAAAAAAAUGUAUUCUAUUAUUAUUUCAACAGAAGUAUCUCUUACAUAUUUUAGCUAGACAUAUUUGGAUUUUCAUUUCUUUUUGUACUUUCCUUCCUUAAUAUGUCUAGUUAAGUUUAUUAAGUUAGGAUUGUGAAAAUUCUCUUACAUGAGCUAAAAGAUACUGCAAAGUUUAAGUAGCAUCUUGGAGGGCGAAAAUCAAGCUAUUAUGGCUUCGACGAGCGAAAUGGUCGAUGCACACAAGAGAAACAAUCACAUAAAUAGACGGGAAAUAACAGGAAAGCUAGUACAACUUAGAUGCUAUAAAGAGGCACAUAUUAAAAUUCUACGAACACCUUAGCUCAAACAUCAUGGAAGUUGAAAUAUACCUCAUACUUGUCCACACCUUGGGCCGGAUCUGCUAUGGCAAUUCCCAAAAAAAGACUUUGUGUAGUCUAUCUACACAAUAUAAUCCUGUUGCAAGAAAAUCAAUUAGUGUGAGCAUAAUAUGGUGCGGAGAAUUAAAAGAGUGAAUAUGUAAAACCUACCAAUGUCUUCUUAACAUAUUUCAUGACCCUAGAAAUAAAAUUGUAAGUUUAGAGCCAUACAAAAUUAAUAUCCUAAAAAGUAAGUUUAAAAUCACACGUUAUGGAACCGUUAUCGGUCUCAUGAAUUGGAUUAAAUGGGAAGCUUUCAUUCUUGUACGCUCCUCUUCCAAUUACCAACUCAUAAUACGUACUAGCAACAAGAUUAGGGAGUUGACUCUCCAAAUUCACAUCACUAGCAAAAUCGUAAUGGGCUCUAAAAUUCCUUCCAAAUAUAAUAACCCUGCUGGCACUACUGUACCAGUUCUGAGGAUCAAGGGCUCCCUUUUCAAAGUUAAAGCACUCAACAAAUUUGGCCUUUCCAACAAUAGCAACUUCCCAUCCACCAAAAUAAUCUUCCAGACCUCAAGCAAAUAUUUUUCUCUUUUCAUCAAUGUUGCCAACGUACCGAUGAAAACACCAUUUUUGGUGUCGCUCCAAAAAAGGGGUGAAUUCUGAAUCAACUCCAUCCAUUCUCCGAAAAGAAAAAAAAAAAUAUACAACAUAAACAACCUUUGACUAUAUGCACCACGGUAAAUCUUAGUAGACUUACUUAAACAACUUUGAGUCUGUUUUGCCAAAUCAUGUACACCGUAUCAGAAAAUUUUGAAAUGUGAGGUAGGAGUUGUGGAUUUGAAUUUCUCUGAAUAACGCCAUCAAUCAAGGAGCAAAAUGCCUUGUAAUCAUCUAUAUAAUGGUUUGGCGAAGCUACAAAAAUUUUAAGUAAAACUUAUUAAAAAAUUGCAUACAUGAAACAUUGAAAUGUUUAUUAUAAAUUAAGUAAAUUACAGACACAUACGCAACUUCUGCUUUUGUAAAUUAUAAAGAAGUAUAUUUGCACUUUUCACUCCAUUUCUUCAUGGGAGCCGACUUUGGGAGUGAUUUUGGAGCACCAUUUUUCUCAUCAACCAGGAGUUUCGGAUUGUUGGCUUUGACUCGAGGAGUUAGAGAGGCAUUUGAGCCGAUUAUGAAACUUCGGAGCAAGGUAAGUCUCAUGUCAAACCUUCGGUUAUGCUACUAGUUGUGGUUGUUAUGUACGCACGAGGUGACGAGAGUCCAUAUGUAGCUAAAGCAUGUUUAUGUCCGGGUAGACUCAGGAUUCUAUCAUGUAAUAUUUGAACUCUAUUUUCUAGAAUAAAUAAUUGACUUUAUAAUUCGUACGACCUCGGCAUAAUCGUGCGUUAUAUCGCUAGCAGUCAGAAUAUUCAUGAGAUUAUCCUUCCACUGAUAACUGGCAUUUUAUAUGGUAUUCCUUACCAUUUUGAGAUUGGGACUUGACAUUUUUCGAGCUGUUGAGAUAAUUUUUUUUGAAAGAUUAUGUUAGUUACAGUUUUACCUCACUGCUACUGUUGUGCUUCAUACCUGUUGAUGAUUUAUCAUACUACUUUAUUUGAUCUCUACUAAGUGUCCAUGUCGACCCCUCGUCACUACUUCUCCCGGGUUAAGAUAUACAUGGCUUAAAUAUAAAGACACUGGAAUGGAUAAGUAGAAGACAUGCCAAGGUACGAAGUGUACAAAAGGCAUGACCUCAAAGGUUAAAGGGGUAACAUAAAUUGUUUAUAAGGCAAGUCGUCAUGAAAUGACGAUAUUAAACGGGGUAUGUCUUAUUUGGUGAUGAUAAAUUUGUGAAAGGAGAAGUUUCGAGAUUAUACUCCAAAAAGCUUUGUGCCAAUGGAGCAACUGAGUGUGGAUUGAUUAAAACUCCAAAAAGCUUUAUGAGUUUGCUUCAAGAGUUGUAGAAACUUGUCGUAUGUAUUUUACUCUCGAGAUUGAUAUGCUUUGAAGAUGUUUUAUCUAUAUUAUUACUUUAUUAGAAUACUACUUAUUUGAUGCAGUGUUUCUUCUCUUACAUGGUUUACGUUGAAUCAGUACAUAAGCUUUGUAAUAAUUGAUCAGAGACUGUUGGCAAGCGCUCUGGUAAGAUCUUGUUUCAGUCUCUCCACUAUUGUAUAAAGCUCUAAACAUGAGAACUUUAUCACCCAAAAUCGAGAUGCUGCAUAAAGUUGCAUAUAUGUUGAUCAUUGUGUCAAUAUGGUUCGUGUAGGGACAUAGCUCUUUGCUCCCUUCCUAGUUUCGAAUACAACAACAACUAUGCCUCGGUCUCUCUAGUUUUGAAUGGAAAAAAUAACUGAUGGUUUGGCUGAUAGGAAUAAGUGGAUAAAGCAAUAAAGAAGGUAUCUGAGAGAAGUUGGGAUUCAAGGUGGACGGAGGAACCGGAGCAUCUUACACAUUUUGGAAUACAAGACAUUAUCUGUUGGACGACAACCAGCUUUUCCAUUGACUAGAAGGGAUCUUGUUCACGCCAGGUUCCAGAGUUCCCAACUCGUGUUCUGCCUUAUAAAGGGAUUCAUGUUCCUAAAAUGCUGGUGAUACUGAUUGAGUGUUGCCCAUGUAACAAAGACUGGGGGUUUGCAUUAUUCUUGCCAACUGGUUGAGGUUUACUUCUGAUUGCUCAAGCCUUUGAAACUCUAAUUCACUAAGGUGGAAUCUGGACUUGCCAAUGGUUAUGAGAUUGUGAUUAUAUUGCUUCUGUUCAAUAUGUGUGCGAAUUUGAAGAUCGGAUUUUUUUAACCAAGCAUACAACAAAUUUUUCCAGAUUUUUUUUGUACUUUUGGUUUUAGUACAUGUUAAUGGUUCAGAAAAACUCUGAGUGGUGCACCAUAGAUAUUGGCUUUAUAUUUUCAUUUGCUUGACAAGAG